rnacentral:rRNA from 1 species
CCGCCCACGACUCGGCGAGAAGUCCAUUGAACCUUAUCAUUUAGAGGAAGGAGAAGUCGUAACAAGGUUUCCGUAGGUGAACCUGCGGAAGGAUCAUUG